CAACAGUUCUGAGUUUUAACUGAAACAGAUAGGAAUUCUGGCCUGUAGCCACAACUUCCAAAAACCAAGCCGAAUCCAGAGUUCACAGCUCAUUUUACAGAUCAGGAAACUGAGGCAAACGGGAUCUUUAUGUCCAGUAGCAUUCAACACAGCCCAAGCAGCAUGAGAUGACCUUUGGAAGCAAAGAAACUUUCAC